rnacentral:rRNA from 1 species
UAGGGAAUCUUCCGCAAUGGACGCAAGUCUGACGGAGCAACGCCGCGUGAGUGAAGAAGGAUUUCGGUUCGUAAAACUCUGUUGUUAGAGAAGAACAGCGCAUAGAGUAACUGUUAUGCGUGUGACGGUAUCUAACCAGAAAGCCACGGCUAACUACGUGCCAGCAGCCGCGGUAAUACGUAGGUGGCAAGCGUUGUCCGGAUUUAUUGGGCGUAAAGCGAGCGCAGGCGGUCAAUUAAGUCUGAUGUGAAAGCCCCCGGCUCAACCGGGGAGGGUCAUUGGAAACUGGUUGACUUGAGUGCAGAAGAGGAGAGUGGAAUUCCAUGUGUAGCGGUGAAAUGCGUAGAUAUAUGGAGGAACACCGGUGGCGAAAGCGGCUCUCGGGUCUGUAACUGACGCUGAGGCUCGAAAGCGUGGGGAGCGAACAGG